rnacentral:rRNA from 1 species
UACGGAGGUGGCUAGCAUUACUCGGUUUGACUGGGUGUAAAGGGUCCGCAAGCGGUUAGGUGUGUAAAAGGUGAAAUCUUCUGGCUUAACCAGAAAACUGCCUUUUAAACUGCCUAACUUGAGGUUAGAAGAGGUGAGUGGAACUGCCGGUGUAAAGGUGAAAUUUGUGGAUAUCGGCGGGAACGCCAGUUGAGAAGUCGACUCUCUGGUCUAAACCUGACGCGCAGGGACGAAAGCUAGGGGAGCAAACAGG